rnacentral:rRNA from 1 species
CAGCUUGCUGUUAUCAAAAGUGGCGCACGGGUGCGUAACGCGUAUGCAACCUACCUCAAUCAGGGGGAUAGCCCGAAGAAAUUCGGAUUAACACCGCAUAACAACACAGUACAGCAUUGUACAAUGUUCAAAUAUUUAUAGGAUUGAGAUGGGCAUGCGUGUCAUUAGCUAGUUGGCGGGGUAACGGCCCACCAAGGCGACGAUGACUAGGGGAUCUGAGAGGAUGACCCCCCACACUGGUACUGAGACACGGACCAGACUCCUACGGGAGGCAGCAGUAAGGAAUAUUGGUCAAUGGAGGCAACUCUGAACCAGCCAUGCCGCGUGCAGGAAGACAGCCCUCUGGGUCGUAAACUGCUUUUAUUCGGGAAUAAACCUUAUUACGUGUAAUAAGCUGAAUGUACCGAAGGAAUAAGGAUCGGCUAACUCCGUGCCAGCAGCCGCGGUAAUACGGAGGAUCCAAGCGUUAUCCGGAUUUAUUGGGUUUAAAGGGUGCGUAGGCGGCUUAUUAAGUCAGGGGUGAAAGACGGUGGCUCAACCAUCGCAGUGCCCUUGAUACUGAUGAGCUUGAAUGAACUAGAGGUAGGCGGAAUGUGACAAGUAGCGGUGAAAUGCAUAGAUAUGUCACAGAACACCGAUUGCGAAGGCAGCUUACUAUGGUUUUAUUGACGCUGAGGCACGAAAGCGUGGGGAUCAAACAGGAUUAGAUACCCUGGUAGUCCACGCCCUAAACGAUGAAUACUCGCUGUUAGCGAUAUACAGUUAGCGGCUAAGCGAAAGCGUUAAGUAUUCCACCUGGGGAGUACGCCCGCAAGGGUGAAACUCAAAGGAAUUGACGGGGGCCCGCACAAGCGGAGGAGCAUGUGGUUUAAUUCGAUGAUACGCGAGGAACCUUACCCGGGCUUGAAAGUUAGUGAAUCAUUUAGAGAUAGAUGAGUGAGCAAUCACACGAAACUAGGUGCUGCAUGGCUGUCGUCAGCUCGUGCCGUGAGGUGUUGGGUUAAGUCCCGCAACGAGCGCAACCCCUAUGUUUAGUUGCCAGCACGUCAAGGUGGGGACUCUAAACAGACUGCCUGUGCAAACAGAGAGGAAGGAGGGGACGACGUCAAGUCAUCAUGGCCCUUACGUCCGGGGCUACACACGUGCUACAAUGGAUGGUACAGAGGGCAGCAAGCUGGUAACAGCAAGCAAAUCUCAAAAAGCCAUUCACAGUUCGGAUAGAGGUCUGCAACUCGACCUCUUGAAGUUGGAUUCGCUAGUAAUCGCGUAUCAGCAAUGACGCGGUGAAUACGUUCCCGGGCCUUGUACACACCGCCCGUCAAGCCAUGGAAGUUGGGGGUAC